GACUAUCAUUUCUUCAUAUUUAAAUUCAAACCCAGUAAACAUGUUAACCUGAAAUUAAAUAGGUAUCAAAUGAGAUUGGAAAUGAAUAUGUUUUAAAUGUAUAUAGUUAAGCAGACACUGAACUUACGGCUCAACUGAAUAGUAAGAGGUGUGUUAUGGAGCAGCGCUUCUCAACCUGAGAUCCCUGGGGGUGCAUUUCAUCCAAAAACACCAUAUUUUACUCAAAGUAUCUGUCAGAAGUACCUGUCUGCAAAGAAGACAUGGAUUUCCUCUGAGGACAGAUUUGGAAGAUAUUGGAGAAGGAAGUCCUCAAAAGGAUGAUACAGUGAUAAAGAGAAAAGGAGAGUUUCAAACAGCCAUCAUUUAAAAAAAAAAAAACAAAAACAAAAGAAAGAAAAGAAAGAGGUGAUGGUGGUUGUAUGUUGUUUAAAAAGAAAGCUUCGAAGAGAAACAGCUGCUUUGAUGAUUGAUAAGAUUUCCCAGGAAGAAGUCAGACUGAAGUCAUGAUGUGCCCUUAACUACAGUGGAAGACUCUGAAGGAUUCCACAAAGCCUGUUGAAGCACUUACCUCUUGACUUGAGGAGAAGGCAGAAGCACCCUUCUUGCCUAACUCAGUCAUGUGGGUACACCUAUGCAUGGGAGGCUGGGAAAUGAAGUUUAGCUACACACCUAUGAGGAAGAGAAAAUAGGCUUGAAUCUCCGCUCCUUGAGUUGGCAUCCAAGUACCUUAAUGGAAUAGCAGUUCUCAAGCAUGGUGCCUCCAGACCACAAAUCUAGGCAGAUGAAGCUGGUGCGUGAGUUCGAGUGUCACGUGGAGAGCUGCUUGGCCUCCCCACAGAGGGACCUGUCCUCAACGUCUCUGCCUGAAGUCAGCCUUCCAGGAAGGAACAUGGACCAUUCUUAGAAGACAGACUUCUCCAGUUUUGAACCAGAGUCCCUCUUUGCAACAGAACUGUUACAUCAUGACUUAAACUACCCCUUUCUGUUUAGGCACAUCCAGAGUUUAUAUUUCCAUAGAAUAAUUUUUGAGACCAAAUUACCUGAAUUCAGAAAACCUCUGAAUAAUGAAAUAGCUAUAAUUUAUAUGCCAGACACUGCACUGGCUUCUCUGUGUAUCAUCUCAUGUACUCCUCACAACUGUAUGAAGGAGGUACUGCUGUCAUCUGUUUGGUGGAUGACACAAUUGAUUCUCAGAGCCCUUAGGAAAUGGACUUGAUGUCACAUGCUCAUAGUAGGUCUGGCUCUGUCAUCUCUACUUUUAUCCACUGCACUGUAAGGCCCCCUCUUUCUAAAAAAAAAAAAAAUAGACUAUUCAAACAUUUUACCUUCAUUUUUUCAAAGGAUUUAAGUUGUAGGAAGGAGAUUCAUUGAGUUGUAUGAAGGUACAAAUCUAAAUGUUGUACCCUUUGUACAGUUCCCAAGAGAGCAGAUGCUGGGCCACGAGUCAGCCUAGCUAGAAAAGGAUUCUCUGUGUGACAGGAAUACACUAUGAGCUGGACCACUCACAUGAUAUUUUGCAGAACCUUCUGUAUAUUUUUUGAUCUAAGUUUGGUUCUGAGCACAGAAAUCUCUGUGAGAAAUCCCAUGAGAAGAUUCCACUAAGGCAACGACAAAGACUCGUGUUCCGAUGGACUUUUUAUGUAAAUGGAGAAAAAAAAUUAGCUGGAAGCACACACCUGAAAAUUCAUAAGAGGCUCUCUCUCAGUAAUUAUGCAAUAUUCAUGGAAAUAGACUCUAGGCAUUAUGCUAAAAGUCAGACUUUGUCUCCAUUUUUUCUCUUUCAAAAAAGCAGACAACCAGAAGGGAGAAAUGGUGUUCACAACCACACCACAGGCACGACGACGGGAGGUGGCAUUUCACAGUCACUCCUAAUGGUCAAUAUCUGAGAAUUAAACCUCCCAGACAACCGGGGAAGCUUCGCCUGCUGGGAAUAUUCAUGCCCCUCUGGGUGACUAAUUCAUUACUUCGGGAGACAGAGAACUCGAAGGGUGCCGGAUACUUUUUUCUGUGGCUUACACUUAUGUCCCCAAAAGAAAAAUAUGUUUUGCUUUUGCACUUCCUCAGGUUACCAUGACUCCCCGGCUACUAGUAUAAAUAGAAAUAAACUAUUCAGAAGCAUCUAUUACAAAUGAUAAUAUUCUAG